CGCUCCAGGCCAGCCAGGGGGGCCGUGUCUCCUGCUGGGCCCCCGCCUGGUCAGCGCAGGAAGGCAACCAGCGGGGAUGCUGGGCAGGAGAACGACCCUGGGGCUCAAGCCCACCCCGCGGAGCCCAGCCCAGCAGGGCUGCGCCAGGCAGCUUCUCGGAGCGGGCCCAUCCCCGUGGCCUCCAGCCCCGCUCUAGCUCGGCCCCAGGGACGGAGACCGGCCUGUCCCCUGCCGCCUCCAGCCUCGCCGGGCUCUGCCCGCGCCCCAGCCCCGGCUCCCAGCUCGGGCCCCCCCGGUCUUACUUCUGCGCGCCGCUGGCUGCGCCCCGCUCCUUUGUUCCCUCCGCGCCGCUCCUGCCUUCCCCGGCUGGGGCUGGCUCCUCCUCUGCGGGCUGUGGCUCCCGGCCACCGGCCGCUCUUAAAGAGCCAGCCCGGCCCUCGCACCCGCCUCCCGAGCCAGCCCGGGGGGUGCAGAGCGCGGAUGGGUGUGUCUACACGGCCUCGGAAACCUGGACUCACCCCGCUGGGAGCCCAACCCCCUACCGGCCACACGCAAAGGUGCCUGAUCCCGGUCUGCAAGUCCCGGGCACCCUGAGUCCUGCGGAGACUGGGGGCCAAGCCCCGUCGUUGUGCAGUGUGGACGCAGCUCAAGCCCCAAAGCCCAGUCAGAAGGAACGUGUCGCUUUGGCUGAAAAUUUUGAUGGGAG